rnacentral:lncRNA from 1 species
GGAGCAGAUAGAAUAAUAUCUCCCUAGAGAGGUCCAAAUCCUGAUUCCCUCAAUCUUUGAAUAUUCUGUGUUACAAGGUAGAGGAGAGAUAAGGCCAAAAAUGGAAUUAUGGGUACUAGACACCUGGCCUUAAAACAGGGUUAUGUACUGGGAUUACAGGUAGACACAAUAUAAUCACUAUGAUUUCUAAAAGGAAGCAGAUAAUCAGAGAAGUAGAAUUGUAGAGAUGGCACAUAAGAAGAAGCCAUGCCGCUGGCUUUAAAGAUGGAGGAAGGGGCCAUAAGCUAAUGGAUGUAGGCAACAUAUGAAAGCUGGGAGAAAAAUGAGAAAUAGAUUCUCUGUCCAGAACUUCCAGAAGGAAUUCAGCCUGGCUGAUACUUUGCUAGUAGCCCAAAAAUAGCCAUUUCAGAUUUCAGAACUAUAAGGGUAAAACGUUGUACUGUUUACUAAAUUUAUAGCAAUUCUUUAUAGCAGGAAUUUGAAAAUUACUUAAAAUAAUCAAGUAUCUAGUUAGUUUAAAGACAUUUAAAAACAUAGCUUAGAAUUCUAGUCAUUAUGCUGCUCUGUUUUGGACUAAAUGUUUAAAAUCUUGCCUUUACAAAAAUAUUCAGAGGUCUUAAAGUCUAUAUUUAGACAGAUAAUUCAAACUCAUUGUAUUGCAUCUAAAAUGGGAAUUUAUUCUUGAUAAGAAUCUUCUCUUCAAUCAUUUGCUCAUUCCUUCAUUCAUAUGCACUUUCUUUAGAUAAUUGCAAAGGCCUACUAUGGGUUGUUGACUGUGCUAGCCCUUGGGAAGUAGAUGUGCUACUAAAAUCCUUGAAAGCAACAGCAGCAGAAAUUGCAAAGAUGAAAAUUCCAAACUCUGGGACUAUGAUUUCUGGGUUGCUUUUAGCACUGCUCCCUUCCAGCUAUUCGAUUUUGGAGGAUAUUCACAGACAAGGACCUAUUCCAGUCAUUAAAAAAGAAACCAGAACAAAACACAGACACACAUCUGUCCUUGGCAACUGCUGUGCAAAGAAAACCACAAUAGUGAAUACUAACAAAAACAUAAGGUAGAAUAAAGGACGUGAAGUGAUUGGUUCUCGGAUGGGG